GGAUGUGAGGGAGAUCUUGAUGCAACAUCUGUCACCCCAUUGAGCACCAGGAUUGAUUCGGCUGAUCUGGCUGGCUACGUAGGUGUCCCCUUCCUCUCUCACCACUCCAGGUGCGUCCCUCCUGAAACCGUGCUCUGUCGAAGAGGACUACCUUCCCUAAUAGAGGAGAGGACCGUUUUUCGAUCCAGGGUAUAGGAGUAGCUGCCCUCCCCUGCUGGAACCUCCGAACAAGCUCUCAGGGUCCAUUUGUAGGAGAACAGAGGGUAGUCAAGUUUUCGAGACUUCAGACACAUCCAAAUGAGGCGCUGCACAUGGCAGUCUGCCUUUCUAA
rnacentral:snRNA from 1 species